rnacentral:tRNA from 1 species
GGGGAUGUGGCUCAGAGGUAGAGUGCUCACCUACCAUGUGUGAGGCACUGGGUUUGAUCCUCAGCACCACA